ACACGUAGUCAACCCAACCUAUGGACGUGGAUAACCUCGGGAAACUGAGAAUAAAACACGAUAGAUCAUUAUGCCUGGAAUGGCUUAUGGUUCAAACAAUUUAUUGCCGUAGGAUGGGACUGCGGCCUAUCAGCUUGUUGGUGAGGUAAUGGCCCACCAAGGCUAUAACAGGUACGGGCUCUGAGAGGAGAAGCCCGGAGAUGGGUACUGAGACACGGACCCAGGCCCUAUGGGGCGCAGCAGGCGAGAAACCUUAGCAAUGUGCGAAAGCACGACUAGGUUAAUCCGAGUGGUUCCUGCUAAAGGAACCUUUUGUCAGUCAUAAAACCACAGAUGAAUAAGGGGUGGGCAAGUCUGGUGUCAGCCGCCGCGGUAAUACCAGCACCUCGAGUGGUCAGGAGGUUUAUUGGGCCUAAAGCAUCCGUAGCCGGCUUUGCAAGUCUCCGGUUAAAUCCAGCUGCUCAACAGAUGGGCUGCCGGAGAUACUACACAGCUAGGGAGCGGGAGAGGUAGACGGUAUUCGGUGGGUAGGGGUAAAAUCCUCUGAUCCAUCGAGGA
rnacentral:rRNA from 1 species